rnacentral:rRNA from 1 species
AUUGAACGCUGGCGGCAUGCCUAACACAUGCAAGUCGAACGAGUCGCGGACGGGAGUGACAUGUAGGGGACACUGCCUGAUGGAGGGGGAUAACUACGGGAAACGGUAGCUAAUCCCGCCCACCAUCAGAUUUUCCCGGUUGGGAUUAGCUUGUUGGUGGGGUAACGGCUCACAAAGGCGACGAUCCCUAGCUGGUCUGAGAGGAUGACCAGCCACACUGGAACUGAGACACGGUCCAGACUCCUACGGGAGGCAGCAGUGGGGAAUAUUGCACAAUGGGGGCAAGCCUGAUGCAGCCAUGCCGCGUGUAUGAUGAAGGCCUUCGGGUUGUAAAGUACUUUCAGCAGGGAAGCGUUACCUGCAGAAUAAGCACCGGCUAACUACGUGCCAGCAGCCGCGGUAAUUC